rnacentral:lncRNA from 1 species
UUGUGUACCCAAGGUGAGCCAGCUAGGCUCCAGAGGAGAGUUCUGCAGACACACAGAUAGCCCUGGUUAAAAUCAGUGGUUCACAAAACAGAACAAUAUACCAGGAGCUGGGGAAUGAACAACACAUCAAAGUUUGGUGAACCAAUGGCUUUUUUAUUGGUGUUACUUGCAGGAGUAUGGUGAGCAGUUACAGAAAGAAACCACUCAAAGAAAGCUGCAUCACAAAACUCCAUCUCAGGGUGGGAGCCAGUUCUGGGAAGCUGCAGGACACUAGCUCACCAGAAGAAUCCUUUCCCAUGCUUACUUAAGCAGAACUUUCACUCUCAUGUGCCUGCUUCAGUGAACUGUCCCUUCAUGAGUCUGCCUUAGUCGUUCACCUGUGUUUACUUUAGGAGUCACUCCUUCACAAGUUUGACCCAGCAAAACACCAUCCAACACAACUGACUCUUCAAAGAACCCUUAAAUUUCCACUUUGUAUAGGGGCACUUUCUUAAUUAAUAAUUGAUGAUGUGAGGGCCCAACCCUCUGUUGGCAGUGCUACCCUUAGUAGGUGGUCUUUGGCUGGAUACAAAAGCAAGCUGAGCAAGCCAUGGGUGGUCAGGGAGUAAGAGUAUUCCUUUAUGGUUUGCUUCAGUUCCUGCCUCCAGGUUCCUGCUUCUGUUCUGGUACUCAUGUUCCUCCAUGGUGGACUAUGAUCAUGACAUAUCUUUUUCUUUUUGCCUGCAGGUUCCUUUCUUGAGUUCCUGUCUUGAUUUUUCUUCACGAUGAACUGUAAGCUUUGAGGUGAAACCAACCCUUUGCUCCCCAAGUUGCUUUUGGUCAUGGUGUUUUAUCCCUGCAACAGAAAGGGAAGUAUGACAAUGGUGCCAAAAUAUUGAAAUACUAUUCAUUAUACUGGGA